CUGGGGCCACUUCUGAGGCCUGAACCUCCUGCCCACUCGGGGGGCCAGAUUACUCCGAGGCCCCGUGAUCGCUGAGCCUCCGAGGCUCCCUGGGGUUCCCAGCGUCUGCCCCGGGGACACAGGGGUCAGAGCUGGGCGGUGGUCUUCGCUCGCGUCUUCCGCUCUCUGGGGACCUGCUGCGAGCCUGUGCAGACACGGGCGCAGCGCGGUGCGGCGAGGUCGCCUCUGUACCCAGCUCCCCCUGGUGGCACCUGCGACCGAGGUGCGCCUGCAGUCAGACCCGCGGGAUCCAGCAGGCAUCCCCAGGAGUGCGGACCCUACUGGGGACUGCAGGCAGGACUGGAGUCAAAGAGCCGUUCCCUGCCUGUGUCCACCCGGCCACCUCGACCCCACUGUGUGCUCUCCUGCAAGCUGCAGGCCCGAAGCGCUGUCCCCUGCUGCUUUGCUGACCACUUCCCUGGUCAUUGUGCAGAGGACCUGGCAAGGAGUUGGAGUGAGGUCAGAGCUGAGCUAAAGCCAAGGUGAGUGGGGCGAGCACUGGUGCAAGUUGACGGGGGCAGCGGGACGGGCGCUCAGGUCUGUGCCUCUGUCCUCCCUCCCUGGUGCUGGGGUGAAACCCAGAGCCUCUGCAAGCCCAGUGACUGCUCCACCUUGGGCUGCAUCCCUAGCCACACUGGUUUGCUUUUUAAGAAUAAUUUUUACAGUUGGGCAUCGUGGUGCACCCCAGAUGCUCUGAGAAAUUUAGGGAAACCCUAUCUCAAAAAAAAAAAAAAAAAAAAAAAAAAAACUGAAGUUAAAGAAGAUUUAUAAAUUUACUCUACCUACCAUGUUCCAAGGUGUUUUAAGGCUGGGGCUUAUUUGGCACACGGUGACAAGCAUCCCUGCUUCAUCAACCUAGCCGGGCUCUGGGCUGUCUCCCAGAGCAGCCUGUGCCCACCCGCUGAGCCCAGUGCUAGCAGGGGCCCUGGGCACCGGUUCUGAGAAGCCACCAAGCCCGACGCCCACAGGGAGGGCAGUAACCCUUGGCGUCCUUCUUGCGCCCACCUCCUUGCAGAAGUAGCGCGUGCUCCAGGGUGCGCCUGACUCCGCACGCAGCCGCUCCUCUGCCCGCUGCCGCUCCUCCAGCGCUCGCUUGUGCUCUGUGGCGCGCUCCAUCUCCGCGCAGCUCAGUGCCUCCGUCACGCUCCGCCACAGCCGCCUGCAACCAACCGAGCGGGACAGUGAUCAAGCGGCGCCGCGGGGCUUCUGGACAUCCCUGCUUAGCGGGAGCUACAUUCAUCCCCGAGAUGCAAGGGCGCCCACGCCAGGCCCCCGGGUGGCCACGCAGCAGUGCCGCGGCCCCUAAUUCUUCAACUGAAAAUAACACAUAGCUUCCCAAUAAAAUUUUCAUUUAUGGGAGACUCAAAUUAAUAAAUAGCAUACGAAGUUUUAAAGUUGAAAUGCAAACGCCUACCUGUGUGUCUUGCCUGAGGAAUUAAUGGAGACCAGAUUCCCUCUCCUACCUCAACCAGGAAAACCAGGGAAAACAUAAAACAGCCAGACACCCGGUGCAGGGCCGCAACCCCAGCUACGAGGAUUGCUAAUUUGAUGGCAGUCUGGGCAACAAAAAAUGUCUCACAAAGUCUCAAAAAAUAAAAUGGUCUGCGGUUACCGCUCA